GUCAGGAUGGCCGAGUGGUCUAAGGCGCUGCGUUAAGGUCGCAGUCUCCCCUGGAGGCGUGGGUUCAAAUCCCACUUCUGGCA
rnacentral:tRNA from 1 species